UACGUAGGGGGCAAGCGUUGUCCGGAUUUAUUGGGCGUAAAGAGCGUGUAGGCGGCCAGGUAGGUCCGUUGUGAAAACUCGAGGCUCAACCUCGAGACGCCGAUGGAAACCAUCUGGCUAGAGUCCGGAAGAGGAGAGUGGAAUUCCUGGUGUAGCGGUGAAAUGCGCAGAUAUCAGGAGGAACACCGGUGGCGAAGGCGGUUCUCUGGGCAUUACCUGACGCUGAGGAGCGAAAGCGUGGGGAGCAAACAGG
rnacentral:rRNA from 1 species